GGUGUAAAGAAACUGAAUCCACAAAAAGCAUUUUGCAGUGGAUGAAAUGUGCCAUAAAACAUGUGAAUAUGCCCUAAUUUGUUUUGUUAAUAUCUCUCAGGGCAGUAAUUACACAACACCCUUUUAAAGAGAUUUACCUCCCUCUUAAAGUCAUCCUUCAGUCCAGUACUGGGAACACACCUGUUGUCAAUAGAAUUAGAUCCAAACAUUUGGAAUACUUAACUGUGGAGUAAGAAUAAAACAAAUAUACUGUAAAUCAACUGGAACUUGAUUAAAGUAGACCAGUACCUCUAAUUAUAUGUGAAUGUACUUUCAUUUCCAUAAUGGUAGGUGAAUGUGAAAAUAACAUACUAGGAUAUAACCACUAUUUAAUUAAACCCACAAACAAAAUAGAAUAAUGCCAUUUUAUGCACUGCCACAUUGACUGGCUGAAGUGUCAUAGUAUAAACAAGUUGAAAACUUUUGUUGGCACUUUAUAUAAUACUGUACAUUAACUUUGCACUGACAUUGAUACUGUCAUAAUGCACAGUUUUUUUUUUUUUUUUUUUUCUGUUACAAACUUCACUUGAUAAUAAAGUUUUACAAUUAUAGGUAGAGGUGUUUUAUCAUUGCUCCUUCUCCCUGUGUAAUUUCCAUUCAAAAAGUACAAUAUAGUCAAUAUAUUGCAGUUGCAAAGUUUAAAAAUCAUCUUUAAAUGAAUCAGAUCUACUUCAUUCACUUUGAUGUGAGCUGCGUUCAAGAACCAACUGUGCUUUUUCAGAAUACUUUUUUGCUUUGCAUUGUUAUAAAUAGGUCAUCUGCUGCAGGCAAAACUAAACUGAGGUUUGGGGUAAAUGAGGUUGAGAAAUAUCUUUGUAACUGCACAAUUUAUGACAUGACAACACAGUGCUAGAUUUGACAGGAAUUGUUAACAUCCAAUCAUGACCAAAAUCCUCCCCUAUAAACAUGCCUGUAAAAGUCUGCAUUAAGGUGUUGCUAUAUCUGUAAAGGGAGAUCCACAGCUCUUAAACUAUUGGCACAACAGACACGUCAGCUCACCCACACCCAUUGUGUUGCCACGCCAUCCACAGUUAAUCUAGUUUAGGACUUGAAAAACAAAGAAUUGGAGGGAAAGAAAAAAAGUUUAGGGGAAAAAAAGUCUAAUGAGAAGUACUGACUUCACUCUUACCCAUGUCAAAUCCAACUGUUUGCACUUAGUCAUGCAAAGCAUGUAGUGUUUUGGCUUCAAUAGCACUGAACAUGAAUGGAUCAAAUUUUAUGAAUGUGUCCUCCACAAAAUUCAAAACUAGUGAAUUACUUUUGGGUUUUAAAGUUACAGAUUCUUCUAAUAUUAUAUUUUGUUACACUAAUAUUUUAAUACUUUGUUACAUCCUUGACUAAACUUUAUUCAUCCUACAUAAACAUCUUAUUGGUAAAUUUUCCAAUAAGGUCAAAAAGGUAGUUAUAGUCUAGUCUCUGAACCUGUAGUUGGUCCACCAAUUACUAAGAUCACAUUUUAUAUUUAUGAUUGUUUCAGACAAUUGAACAUUUUGGCAAGAAAGUUGCCCAUGUUACACUUAACACAUUUUGAAUGCAUUUUUAAGUAAAUCUUUAGGUAAUUAGCUAAAGCAAAGAUCUAAAUAUAGAACACAUCCUCAGUGAGCAGUGUGUUAGUUCCCAAUUAUCAAACUGAAAUCCUGAUUUAUUUUCACUUCCUCAAGCUCCUCUUGUUUCAGCAUGCAUGUAGGUGAAUGUCAUAAAAAACGUGCUGAUCAUUUUUCUCCAAAUAAAAAAACAAACAAAACAAACA
ensembl:lncRNA